rnacentral:rRNA from 1 species
GAUGAACGCUGGCGGCGUGCCUAAUACAUGCAAGUCGAGCGAACAGACGAGGAGCUUGCUCCUCUGACGUUAGCGGCCGACGGGGGAGUAACACGUGGAUAACCUACCUAUAAGACUGGGAUAACUUCGGGAAACCGGAGCUAAUACCGGAUAAUAUAUUGAACCGCAUGGUUCAAUAGUGAAAGUCGUUUUUGCUGUCACUUAUAGAUGGAUCCGCUCCGCAUUAGCUAGUUGGUAAGGUAACGGCGUACCAAGGCAACGAUGCGUAGCCGACGUGAUAGGGUGAUCGGCCAGACCGGAACUGAGACACGGUCCAGACUCCUACAGAGGGCAGCAGUAGGGGAUCUUCCGCAAUGGGCGAAAGACUGACGAAGCAACGCCGGGUGAGUGAUGAAGUUCUUCGGAUCGUAAAACUCUGUUAUUAGGGAAGAACAAAUGUGUAAGUAACUAUGCACGUCUUGACGGUACCUAAUCAGAAAGCCACGGCUAACUACGUGCCAGCCGCCGCCGUAA